rnacentral:rRNA from 1 species
AUUGAACGCUGGCGGCAGGCCUAACACAUGCAAGUCGAGCGGAUGAAGGGAGCUUGCUCCUGGAUUCAGCGGCGGACGGGUGAGUAAUGCCUAGGAAUCUGCCUGGGAGUGGGGGAUAACGUCCGGAAACGGGCGCUAAUACCGCAUACGUCCUGAGGGAGAAAGGGGGGGAUCUUCGGACCUUACGCUAUCAGAUGAGCCUAGGUCGGAUUAGCUAGUUGGUGGGGUAAAGGCCUACCAAGGCGACGAUCCGUAACUGGUCUGAGAGGAUGACCAGUCACACUGGAACUGAGACACGGUCCAGACUCCUACGGGAGGCAGCAGUGGGGAAUAUUGGACAAUGGGCGAAAGCCUGAUCCAGCCAUGCCGCGUGUGUGAAGAAGGUCUUCGGAUUGUAAAGCACUUUAAGUUGGGAGGAAGGGCAGUAAGUUAAUACCUUGCUGUUUUGACGUUACCAACAGAAUAAGCACCGGCUAACUUCGUG